UCAUUCUAUCAAAAUAUUAGACUACAAUAACAUGUUUUGAGAAUAAAUCUCUCUACCAAGAAAUUCAUGCAAACUAAGGUACAAACAAUUAGAUUCACUUAGCUAGCUUAUCUAAGGGAGGAUCAUAAAUGGAAGCAAUGGGAUUAAGCAAUAUAAGUAAAUAGUAGCAAGUAAGAAGGAAGUUGACAAAAGUCUGGGAGACAAGCUCCUCAGUUGUGACCGUUAUCUUUCAGCUAUAAAUGAAACUUCUGCCAUAAAUUUCUAUAGAAUUAGGCAUUAGAAAGAUUGUAAGAUUCAUUUGAAAUAUAAAUAGCAUCAAGGUAAAAAUGAACAAUAUUCUAGAAAUCUUUUUAUUGACAUCCAAUGUGAGUUGAUGGCAAUGGACAAUGAACUGCAACAGCAUAAUCAGAGAGGAUAUAUUUCCACCGCGUAACAGACUAAAAAUCACACUAAUUAUAUUGAAGGUAUGACAUGUCUGCACAUGUAUGCGUUGUGUCCUUGAUCCAGAAAAUAAGCAUAUUUCUGUGAAUUGUCCUUCGCCUUAUCAUACAAAUUGAGAACUGAGGCCUAGAGAUGCAAGUUUAACCAAAAUUUAGCAACAACCUCAUUGACAAUAUUUGACGAUAAAUGCCUUAGCAAUUCAUCAACAUUUGGUACAAAACUUUUUAUAUAAACCUAUACACAAUUACAUUAGGGGUUAUAAUUUUCCACACUACUAUUUGAGAGGGCCAAGAGAUAGUGGCAUUAAAUAAUAUGGUAGAACAGAAAGUGUUAAAGCAACCCCUUAAGUUGACUUGACGAUCUCAAGUUUCCUAUCAUUGUUUUUUCCCAUGGUGCUUAUUCAACAGUCAACACCAAUUUUCAACUCGAGAAUAUACAGAGCAAAUUGAUUUCAUCCUCUGAACAGCUAGACCUUUUCCUCUUUGGUUUUCAUUACAAGGAACUGUAGCCGUGGAUACUGCUUGUUUGAAUGAACGGUUUAACCUUGAUUACACAAAUAUAUAUUUUUGCCUUCUGUGCUUGGUUGCUUGUGCUAGGAGUAAUAUAUUCUCUCUUUUCUUUCCUUGCUAGGAAAAUCAUACAUACAGUCACAUUUUUUUUAAGAUAACUUCUAAUGGGCUAUAUUUUCUCUAGCAUUCACUUCAGUACAGCAAGUAUUCAAAUUGAAACACUAGCAUUUUGGACAAGUUGACUUCACAGAAAAUAAGCAAGCCUCCAUAGGAAAGUAAAAAAUAUGAAAUUUCUCGAGGUAGUGUUUUGCAGGCUCUUAUGAAAUGCAAAUCCCAAGCAGAAAUUUAUUCGGCACUGUGACAAUUUUACUAUUGAACAGAUCAUCUACAUAGAAAGAGGCGGGAGAAAUUUUGAAAGGAAAAGAGGGGAUACAAAGUUUGUAGUCUGGGUCAGGACAGCACACUACAAGCUCUAACUUUCAUGAACCCGAAUUUUGUAGCCUUUUCUUGUAAUUCUUUCUUUUUUGAGGUUCCUUUCAGAACAAUCUGUAUUUCGCUAGAGUCAUCUCUUUGUACUCUCACUCAUUUCAGUGCGAGCAGAUUCUCACCACAUUUAUGAAAGCUGGUUCCACCCCCUGUAGCCUUUUCUUGUAAUUCUUUCUUUUUUGAGGUUCCUUUCAGAACAAUCUGUAUUUCGCUAGAGUCAUCUCUUUGUACUCUCACUCAUUUCAGUGCGAGCAGAUUCUCACCACAUUUAUGAAAGCUGGUUCCACCCCCCCCCCCCCCCCCCCUCUCUCUCUCUCUCUCUCACACACACACAAGAAAAAGUAGAACUAUUUAUUGAGCUUACCCUGCCGUUGCUCGUGUUCGUUCAUCCAUUGUUGGAUUUAGAGGAAGCUUAGUUUUAUAAACAGGUAUUGUCAGCACAACUCCAAGAUGAUGAGAACCCAGCAGCCUGAAAGGGCUCGUUAAAACAGCUUUACCUGUUUCUCUUGACCUCAAAAUGUUCUCACGGUCCUCCUACAUUGCAAUGCAUUCAAAAAAGAAAGUUCAAAUUAUAUUUGCAAGUACCAAGUCCAAACAAGAAAGAAACACCCAAUGAAGAUAUAAACAACUAAGCCUAUAUGAUUACAAUUUAAACUACCUCUCCAGACAUCAUAUCAAGAGAUUCGAUAUAGGAAACUGUCUCCUGGGAAAAUAUGACUGGCGCAUACUCAUCCUUUAUAGGUGAUGGUUCCCUUUCCAUUGUUUUUAUAGUCCACCCAUGCUGCUUCUCAAAUUUUUCUCGCUCAAAGUGCACCACUCUUUGCGCAAAUGCCACUCCACUAAGCAAAGGCCGCUCGAAAGCUGUUCGGGCUGUGUACUCAGCAAAAGUUUCCUGCAUUUAAAACCAACCAAACACCCCUAAAAAACUAAAAAUCAAGACAUCAAGGUAAUUCCUAGCUGAAACAAAAAAAUGAAUUAUCCCUUAAUCUUAACCCUAACCAACUGAGGUGAAUCAAAGACAGAAAUCGAAACACAAAUACCUGAUCAAUUGCUGAUACAUUUUUGGAGUAGUGGAAAGUGGAAAUGAGAAUGGCCAAAGCAUGGACAUGGUUGACACUGACACUAAAUUGAUCCUGAAGCAUCCUUGCCCUCUGGUCACACAUACUUCCCAGAACUUCCUUUCUUCUAACUUUGUUAUCAGCAUCCAUUCCCUUGUAG
rnacentral:lncRNA from 1 species